AGAUUGAACGCUAGCGGGAUGCUUUACACAUGCAAGUCGAACGGCAGCGCGGACUUCGGUCUGGCGGCGAGUGGCGAACGGGUGAGUAAUAUAUCGGAACGUGCCCAGUAGCGGGGGAUAACUACGCGAAAGCGUGGCUAAUACCGCAUACGCCCGUACGGGGGAAAGGGGGGAUCGCAAGACCUCUCACUAUUGGAGCGGUCCCGCGUCUGAUUAGCUUUGUUGGUGGGUAUGGGCCCACCGAAGACUACGAUACAGUAGCUGGUCUGGAGAGGGAUGGACCCAGCCACAGUUGGGGACUGGAGACCACGGCCCAAACUCCGUACGGGAGCAGCAGGUGGGAAUCU
rnacentral:rRNA from 1 species